rnacentral:rRNA from 1 species
GACGAACGCUGGCGGCGUGCCUAAUACAUGCAAGUCGAACGAGAGCGACCGGUGCUUGCACUGGUCAAUCUAGUGGCGAAUGGGUGAGUAACACGUGGGUAACCUGCCCAUCAGAGGGGGAUAACAUCCGGAAACGGAUGCUAAAACCGCAUAGGUCUUCGAGCCGCAUGGCUUGAAGAGGAAAAGAGGCGCAAGCUUCUGCUGAUGGAUGGACCCGCGGUGCAUUAGCUAGUUGGUGAGGUAACGGCUCACCAAGGCCGUGAUGCAUAGCCGACCUGAGAGGGUGAUCGGCCACAUUGGGACUGAGACACGGCCCAAACUCCUACGGGAGGCAGCAGUAGGGAAUCUUCCGCAAUGGACGCAAGUCUGACGGAGCAACGCCGCGUGAGUGAAGAAGGUUUUCGGAUCGUAAAACUCUGUUGUUAGAGAAGAACAAGUGCUAGAGUAACUGUUAGCGCCUUGACGGUAUCGAACCAGAAAGCCACGGCUAACUACGU